UCCCGAAGGCUGCAGCUGCGUGCUCUUUGGAAGAGGACGACCUUCCCCGAUAGAGGAGGACCUUUCUUUGGUCAAGGGUAUACGAGUAGCUGCGCUCCCCUGCUAGAACCUCCAAACAAGCUCUCAAGGUGGCUCACACUUGUAAUCCCAGGGCUCAGGAGGCUGAAGCAGGAGGCUUGAUAGUUCAAAGCCAGCCUCAGCAAAAGUGAGGGGCUAAGCAACUCAGUGAGACCCUGUCUCUAAACAAAAUACAAAAAAGGUCUGGGGAUGUGGCUCAGUGGUUGAGUGCCCCUAAGUUCAAUCCCUGGAAUACCCCCAAAAUAUGUGAAAUAGAUAUUUAUUGAAUAGUAAAUAUUACAUAAGAUACUUGAUAUUUGUUGGAUGUUGUCCUGUGGUCCCUGUCUUCAUGGAGUUCAUGGACAAAACUACAUAUGGCCUGCAGCUAGUGACAAGUGUUGUGCGGAAAGCAGGGUUUUGUGAAUCAGGACAUUCAAGAAAUUCAUACUGAGUACCCACAAUACACCAGGAACAGUUCUAAGCACUGGUAAUACAAUACAAUGUAAUACAAUAGUGAAGAAAGAGAUGAAGGCUCCUGUCCUCCUGUCCUGGAAUUUGUAUUCUAGGGGAAGGAUAUAAGAAAUAGGAAACAACAAUAAAAAGUAAAACAUGUAUAUUAGCUGGUGAUCCAUGCUUUAAAGAAAAAUAAAGCAAAGGGAGUUAAGGAGUAUGACCUGUAAUUUUGAAUAGGGGACUUCCUUGUGCGAACAUCUGGGGAAGAACAUUCCAGGCAGAGAAAACAAUGGGAACAAAGACCUCAGGGCAGAGCAUUCCUGGCUGUUUUGGAGUGAUAGAAGAAAAGGAGGCCAGUCUGCUUGGAGGUAGGGAAGAAAGGGGAGGGAGCAAAGGAGACCAACCAGGGCCAGAGAGAGGCCAGAUUGUGUGGGACAGAGGUUGACAAACUUUUCUCUCCAAAUGCCAGAUAGUAAAUAUUUUAAGCUUUGUAGGCCACAUAUGGUCUCUGUUACAUAUUCUUUUUCUUUUCUUCUCAUUAAAAAAAAAUAAUUUAAAGAAUAAUGUUUAUUAAAAAAAAAUUGGCCUGGGGACAUAGCUUAGUUGGUAGAGUGCUUACCUCACAUGCACAAGGCCCUGGGUUCAAUCUCCAGCAACACACACUCAAACACACACACACA
rnacentral:lncRNA from 1 species